CAGUAAGUGGAUUAGAUACCCUGGUAGUCCACGCCGUAAACGAUGAGAACUAGCCGUUGGGCCCUCCGGGGCUUAGUGGCGCAGCUAACGCGAUAAGUUCUCCGCCUGGGGAGUACGGCCGCAAGGUUAAAACUCAAAUGAAUUGACGGGGGCCCGCACAAGCGGUGGAGCAUGUUGUUUAAUUCGAUGCAACGCGAAGAACCUUACCACCCCUUGAAAUCCUCGGAACCUUUCAGAGAUGGAAGGGUGCC
rnacentral:rRNA from 1 species